GCGCGAGUGGCGGAAUUGGCAGACGCGCAGGAUUUAGGUUCCUGUGGGGUAACCCGUCCCGGUUCGACUCCGGGCUCGCGCA
rnacentral:tRNA from 2 species